rnacentral:rRNA from 1 species
GAUGAACGCUGGCGGCGUGCCUAAUACAUGCGAGUCGAGCGAACAGACGAGGAGCUUGCUCCUCUGACGUUAGCGGCGGACGGGUGAGUAACACGUGGAUAACCUACCUAUAAGACUGGGAUAACUUCGGGAAACCGGAGCUAAUACCGGAUAAUAUAUUGAACCGCAUGGUUCAAUAGUGAAAGACGGUUUUGCUGUCACUUAUAGAUGGAUCCGCGCCGCAUUAGCUAGUUGGUAAGGUAACGGCUUACCAAGGCAACGAUGCGUAGCCGACCUGAGAGGUUGAUCGGCCACACUGGGACUGAGACACGGUCCAGACUCCUACGGGAGGCAGCAGUAGGGAAUCUUCCGCAAUGGGCGAAAGCUUGACGGAGCAACGCCGCGUGAGUGAUGAAGGUCUUCGGAUCGUAAAACUCUGUUGUUAGGGAAGAACAAGUGUGUAAGUAACUAUGCACGUCUUGACGGUACCUAAUCAGAAAGCCACGGCUAACUACGUG